CCCUAUUAUUUGGAUUAAAAAGAAAUUAGGGAAUAAGGUUUCGCUGAAAACGAUCCAGGGUGGCGGUUUUCUUUAUUAUCAGAUAAAUGUGUUUUUUAAAAACGAAAUUACACGAAAAUCUUUCUUACUCUUGAAAAUUCAUCCUGUACACCGCCGUCUGAAGAGUCAACAAAAAAAGUUAACUCCUUUUCUAAAUAGAAGAAAUAAGUCAGGUAAGGUGCAGACUAUGAGUAAGAGAAAAUGCAUUUCUUUACUAUACAUCCAAGAAAAGAGUUGAAAAUUAUUUUUUAGGAGAAUUUGACAGUAAGAUUUUUUUAUAAAAAUAAUCUGAAUUUAUAACAAGAAAAUGCACACAUCGCCCG
rnacentral:rRNA from 1 species